UAAUACGGAGGGUGCAAGCGUUAAUCGGAAUUACUGGGCGUAAAGCGUGCGUAGGCGGUUGGUUAAGUCUGCUGUGAAAGCCCCGGGCUCAACCUGGGAAUGGCAGUGGAUACUGGCUAGCUAGAGUGUGAUAGAGGAUGGUGGAAUUCCCGGUGUAGCGGUGAAAUGCGUAGAGAUCGGGAGGAACAUCAGUGGCGAAGGCGGCCAUCUGGAUCAACACUGACGCUGAGGCACGAAAGCGUGGGGAGCAAACAGGAUUAGAUACCCUGGUAGUCCACGCCCUAAACGAUGCGAACUGGAUGUUGGUCUCAACUCGGAGAUCAGUGUCGAAGCUAACGCGUUAAGUUCGCCGCCUGGGGAGUACGGUCGCAAGACUGAA
rnacentral:rRNA from 1 species